rnacentral:rRNA from 1 species
UACGUAGGGUGCAAGCGUUAAUCGGAAUUACUGGGCGUAAAGCGUGCGCAGGCGGUUCGCUAAGACAGAUGUGAAAUCCCCGGGCUUAACCUGGGAACUGCAUUUGUGACUGGCGGGCUAGAGUAUGGCAGAGGGGGGUAGAAUUCCGACGUGUAGCAGUGAAAUGCGUAGAGAUGUGGAGGAAUACCGAUGGCGAAGGCAGCCCCCUGGGAUAACACUGACGGCUCAUGCACGAAAGCGUGGGGAGCAAACAGG